UGCAGAGGUCCCAAGCGUUGUUCGGAUUCACUGGGCGUAAAGGGUGCGUAGGUGGUGAGGUAAGUCGGAUGUGAAAUCUCGGAGCUCAACUCCGAAAUGGCAUUGGAAACUACCUUGCUCGAGGGUUGGAGGGGGGACUGGAAUACUUGGUGUAGCAGUGAAAUGCGUAGAUAUCAAGUGGAACACCAGUGGCGAAGGCGAGUCCCUGGACAACGCCUGACACUGAGGCACGAAAGCGAGGGGAGCAAACAGG
rnacentral:rRNA from 1 species